UUUUUUGGAUUUUCGGAUAGGGAUAAAUAAAUUGCAGCAGCAGUAAGAUAGGAAACCAGAACCUGUUGCAAUUCACGGGGAGAUCAAAGGUUGAUCUGCGGUGGUGGAGAUGAUGGUGGAAUUCGGCAACGAUCUUUUAAGCAAUUGUGGGAAUUGCUUUGGAUGGUUGUGGAGGGUUGAUGGAUGGCUGUGGAAGGGCAGCGAGACGCCAAGAACACUGCUCUGAUACCAGGUGUUAGAACCCUUGCAGAUUCUAA
rnacentral:lncRNA from 1 species